CGGGGCGUAGCUCAGUCUGGUAGAGCACUAGCUUUGGGAGCUAGGGGCCGCGAGUUCAAG
rnacentral:tRNA from 1 species